UCAGCUCUUCAAGAGGAUUCGGAGACUCGAGACAAGACAACAAGCCUCAGUUCGCUGUCACGGAGAAGGAGCUGCUAUACUCUUUGGCCAUCUUUUAUUUGGGCCACGGACUGCUGUGCUCGCUGGCCAUUUUCCUGCUACAUCGAGACACAUUUGCUGCUGCAUCUCUAUGUUGCCAUUUUAGGAUAAAUGGGCUGCUUGUUUAUUACUAGUUGCUGUGACAUCUCUUUGAAUCGCUGCAUAGCUGGCUGCUGGUUCUGAGCCUUAGAAUUUGAGUCAAUUUGUUGUUCCUUUUAGUACGCAAUUGCUUCAUUUUGGGGUUGAAUGGUUGAUGCACUUUUGGGGAUGGAAUGCCUAUUGUGUGUUGGGGCUAAAAGAAGCCAUUUUUGAGGAUAUUAUGCUGCAUUGAAUUAGCCAAAUAAGUUGUGAUUUUGAACCAGUUUGCUGCCACAACUUUUGAGUAAAUAGUCAUUAUAUUUGGUUCGUUAUUGAUGCACUUUGAGGCAGAUUUGAGGCCUAAAUGCUACUGAACUUUGGGGCCAUUUGCUGCUAGGAUCUGGGAAGUUGUUAUGUAACACUUGUUGCUAGCUUUGAGAAGGCUGGCAACAAUAUUAUCAUUUUAUGGGCAAAAGCUUGCAGUAAUUUGAGGACAAGAUCUGCUGAAUUUAUGCCAUUUUACACAUCAUCAUUUUGAAGAUCGAAGUGUUGUACUCGACUGCACUGUUCAGUUGGUUGCUAUUGAAUUCUUGAGUUGAAUCUCGAACAACCUUAAGGCCAAUUGUCAUUGCUUUUUCUAAAGGCCAAGAGUGCUAAGUUGGCUGAAGUUCGAAAUGUUGUUAUGUUGACUGUCGUUGCCUUAUUUUUAAAAGAACAGAAUGCUACACUUAGGGAAAUAUCACUGAUUUGAAUAGAUACUACUAGGGGCCGAUGAAAGAGUUGUUUAACUAGGCCUCACUUUUACAAAGAAUAAACUUCCAUACUUGAUUGAAAAUUUAUUGAUUUGAACACUUAAAAACUUGCAUAAAAAAGGAGUGGGGCUGCUAUACCCAAGUUCGGGUGCAAUUAAUAUGCUAAAUUAUUUUUUCCUUAUAUGUUAUUUUUUCCUUACAUUUGAUUCUUUUAUCUAGCUUUUAAUAAUUAAAGUUAUAUAGAUUCCUUUUUCCUUGUUGAGAAUUGUUUCUAAUCCUUAUCUUUAUUUUUUUUCUUUUUCAUGAGGAACCUUGGGAGCAUUUGGAGUUAUGGCAACUCCGGAUUCUGCCCAUAUCAGAGAACAACCGGUUGCAAGAUUUAAUUGCUCGUGUCUAGCGUCCCCGUCUUCCUCCCUCUCUUUAAAUUUCGUGCCUUUCGCGUUAUCAUGUAUAUACAUAUUUAUAUUUUUGACUAACAUUUUUUAUGGAUUGUAUUUGUAGCACAUUUGUUUCUCGCUUGUGUAGGAACUUAUGGAAAAAUAGUUAAGUAUGAUGGUAAAUUUAGUCA